UACGUAGGGUGCGAGCGUUAAUCGGAAUUACUGGGCGUAAAGCGUGCGCAGGCGGCGCCGCAAGUCAGGCGUGAAAUCCCCGAGCUUAACUUGGGAAUGGCGCUUGAAACUACGGUGCUGGAGUGUGGCAGAGGGAGGUGGAAUUCCACGUGUAGCGGUGAAAUGCGUAGAGAUGUGGAGGAACACCGAUGGCGCAGGCAGCCUCCUGGGCCAACACUGACGCUCAUGCACGAAAGCGUGGGGAGCAAACAGG
rnacentral:rRNA from 1 species